AGAACGUCGUGAGACAGUUCGGUCCCUAUCUGCCGUGGACGUUGGAGAUUUGAGGAAAGCUGCUCCUAGUACGAGAGGACCGGAGUGGACGAACCUCUGGUGUUCGGGUUGUGACGCCAGUCGCAUUGCCCGGUAGCUAUGUUCGGACAGGAUAACCGCUGAAAGCAUCUAAGCGGGAAGCCUCCCUCAAGAUAAGCAAUCAUCGAACCGUGAUAGACCAUCACGUUGAUAGGCCGGGUGUGGAAGUGCAGUAAUGCAUGGAGCUAACGCGUACUAAUUGCUCGUGAGG
rnacentral:rRNA from 11 species